rnacentral:lncRNA from 1 species
CAAGAAACAACACUUCUGUAGCUUGUCAACUAUGUGUCUGUCUAUCCCUGUUCUCUCCCCUCUGCACAGGCCAUACAAACGCUUCACACCGCGUGGCCGCUGCCACUCUAACCUGGUGGUCCCAGCGCGCACGACCCACGUGGAGUUCCAGGUCUCCGGCAGCCUCUGGAACUGCAGACCAUUUCCGGAGACCUUCUCCCCUACCUCACCUCGCUCAUCAACUCAUCCUUGACCGCUGGCUACGUCCCUUCCGUCUUCAAGAGAGCGAGAGUUGCACCCCUUCUGAAAAAACCUACACUCGAUCCCUCCGAUGUCAACAACUACAGACCA